UACGGAGGGUGCGAGCGUUGUCCGGAAUCAUUGGGCGUAAAGGGCGCGUAGGUGGCCCGGUCAGUCUUUGGUGAAAGCGCGGGGCUCAACCCUGCGUCGGCCAGGGAUACUGCCGCGGCUCGAGCACUGUAGAGGCAGGCGGAAUUCCUGGUGUAGCGGUGGAAUGCGCAGAUAUCAGGAGGAACACCGGUGGCGAAGGCGGUUCUCUGGGCCAUUACUGACGCUGAGGAGCGAAAGCGUGGGGAGCGAACAGG
rnacentral:rRNA from 1 species